GACGAACGCUGGCGGCGUGCUUAACACAUGCAAGUCGAACGGAGAGGCGCCAGCUUGCUGGAGUUGAUCUGUGGCGAACGGGUGAGUAACACGUGUGCAACCUCCACCUGUCUGUGGGAUAUGCGCUGGAAACGGCGUCUAAUACUGGAUACGAGAAGUGUCCGCAUGGGCACUUUCUGGAAAUUUGUGCGGUUGGGGAUGGGCUCGCGGCUUAUCCGCUUGUUGGUGAGGUAGUGGCUCACCAGGGGUACGACGGGUAGCCGGCCUGGGAGGGCGACCGGCCACACUGGGACUGAGACACGCACCAGACUCGAACGGGAGGCAGCGGUGGGAAAUCUGACGCAGUGGGGGAAAGCCUGAGAUGGCGAUGCUGGGAGAGGGAUGCCGGCUUACGGGUGGAAAACCUCUUUGAGCAGGGAAGAAGAGAAAGUGACGGUACCUGCUGAAGAAGCACCGGCUAACUACGUG
rnacentral:rRNA from 1 species